GCUGUGAAGUCCUGGAUUUGGGAAAA
rnacentral:piRNA from 1 species